rnacentral:rRNA from 1 species
AGCAGUCGCCGCGGGAAAACGAAGGGUGCAAGCGUUACACGGAAUUACUGGGCGUAAAGCGUGCGUAGGUGGUGGUUUAAGUCCGUUGUGAAAGCCCUGGGCUCAACCUGGGAAUUGCAGUGGAUACUGGAUCACUAGAGUGUGGUAGAGGAUAGUGGAAUUUCCGGUGUAGCAGUGAAAUGCGUAGAGAUCGGAAGGAACAUCUGUGGCGAAGGCGACUAUCUGGGCCAACACUGACACUGAGGCACGAAAGCGUGGGGAGCAAACAGGACUAGAUACCCCUGUAGUCCCUGUCUCUUAUAC